UGCAUAUUCUUAGUCUUUUGUGCCUUUAAGCUGCGGACUCUGUCUGGUCGGAACCCUAACAAAACUCUCAUUUGUCUCACGAAGAUCUGGGUUUCCAAAGAUCUCUUUGACGCAGAUGUUGCUUUGUUCAUGUGGGUGAUCUUUUAUUUAGCUAAAGACAAUGCCUUGGGUGAAAUUUAAAUAGAGAUUGUAGUUUGAUUUUGCCGUUUUCGCCUUUGAAUAUUAUUGGUUGCAAUGGAUGGAGAUAAUAAUUUGAAUAUGCGUAACUGGGGUUACUAUGAACCUGCACCAUCCCUUAAAGGCCAUCUGGGGCUUCAGCUUAUGUCGUCCAUGCCUGAAAAACCGCUUAUUGGGGGCCGCAAUGCUGCGGUUUUGGCUGGUGGGAAUGGGGCUUUUCACCAUAGGGAUAUGGGGGUUUCCCAUUCAGCAUUCCCCAUGGAGUACAUGAGGGAUGCUUGGUUUAAUCAGAGGGAGAAAUAUAUUAAUGUA